GGUAGCGUGGCCGAGUGGUAUAAGGCGCUGGUUUUUGGGUUCGAAUCCCACCGCUGCCA
rnacentral:tRNA from 1 species